GAAUUUAGCUCAGAUGGAUAGAGCGAUACUCUUUUAAAGUAUAGGUCGAUGGUUCAAAUCCAUUAUUUCAUUGUUU
rnacentral:tRNA from 2 species